GACCGUCCCGCACCACCAGCACAGCCCUGGCAGCCUUGCCUCGUGCCUUCCCCUCAUGCGCUCCGGCCUCCUCGCAGGCCUGGCUUCGUCUCUGGAGUAGUUCUCUGCACCUAGAACUCCCCACAGCCAUGCUGCUCGCGCCCACACCCUUGGGAAGCCAGGCCUUCCCUGGCCCACACUGUGCCGUGCUCCCUGCGUUUUGUCUGUGGUGCUGACCCCCG
rnacentral:lncRNA from 1 species